rnacentral:rRNA from 1 species
GACGAACGCUGGCGGCGUGCCUAAUACAUGCAAGUCGAGCGGACAGAAGGGAGCUUGCUCCCGGAAGUUAGCGGCGGACGGGUGAGUAACACGUGGGCAACCUACCCUGUAGAUCGGGAUAACAUCGAGAAAUCGGUGCUAAUACCGGAUAAUCAUUUGAAGUGCAUGCUUCGAAUGUAAAAGAUGGCUCCGGCUAUCACUACGGGAUGGGCCCGCGGCGCAUUAGCUGGUUGGUAAGGUAAUAGCUUACCAAGGCAACGAGGCGUAGCCGACCUGAGAGGGUGAUCGGCCACACUGGGACUGAGACACGGCCCAGACUCCUACGGGAGGCAGCAGUAGGGAAUCUUCCGCAAUGGACGAAAGUCUGACGGAGCAACGCCGCGUGAGUGAUGAAGGUUUUCGGAUCGUAAAGCUCUGUUGUUAGGGAAGAACAAGUGCCGUUUGAAUAAGGCGGCACCUUGACGGUACCUAGCCAGAAAGCCACGGCUAACUACGUGCCAGCCGCCGCAGUAAUAC